GGAUGUGAGGGCAAUCUGGCUGAGACAUCUGUCACCCCAUUGAUCGCCAGGGUUGAUUCGGCUGAUCUGACUGGCUAGGCGGGUGUCCCCUUCCUCCCUCACCAGGCCAUGUGUGUCCCUCCUGACGCUGUGCGCUCUGUGGAAGAGGACAACCUUCCCCGAUAGAAGAGAGGACCAUUCUUUGGUCAAGGGUAUACAAGUGGCUGCGCUCCCCUGCUAGAACUUCCAAACAAGCUCUCAAGAAAAGAUUUUACAAUCUGAUUAUUAAAAUAUAGAUUGUCAGCAUAUCAGUUUUUUUAAAUGACUUUUUUU
rnacentral:snRNA from 1 species